rnacentral:ncRNA from 1 species
AACCUCUGGAGAGAACCGUUGAAUCGGUCGCCGAAGGAGCAAACCCUGGCAUAGGGUGAAACUCUCAGGCAAAAGGACAGAGGAGUGGAA